rnacentral:rRNA from 1 species
GGAAAAGAAACCAACAGGGAUUGCCCCAGUAACGGCGAGUGAAGCGGCAACAGCUCAAAUUUGAAAUCUGGCCCCUAGGGCCCGAGUUGUAAUUUGUAGAGGAUGCUUUUGGCGAGGCGCCGCCCGAGUUCCCUGGAACGGGACGCCACAGAGGGUGAGAGCCCCGUCUGGCUGGCCGCCGAGCCUCUGUAAAGCUCCUUCGACGAGUCGAGUAGUUUGGGAAUGCUGCUCAAAAUGGGAGGUAUAUGUCUUCUAAAGCUAAAUACCGGCCAGAGACCGAUAGCGCACAAGUAGAGUGAUCGAAAGAUGAAAAGCACUUUGAAAAGAGGGUUAAACAGUACGUGAAAUUGUUGAAAGGGAAGCGCUCAUGACCAGACUUGGGCUUGGCGGAUCAUCCGGCGUUCUCGCCGGUGCACUUCGCCUCGCCCAGGCCAGCAUCAGUUCGCGCCGGGGGAUAAAAGCUUCGGGAAUGUGGCUCCUCCGGGAGUGUUAUAGCCCGCUGCACAAUACCCUGGUGCGGACUGAGGUUCGCGCAUCUGCAAGGAUGCUGGCGUAAUGGUCAUCAGCGACCCGUCUUGAAACACGGACCAAGGAGUCGUCUUCGUAUGCGAGUGUUCGGGUGUCAAACCCCUACGCGUAAUGAAAGUGAACGCAGGUGAGAGCUUCGGCGCAUCAUCGACCGAUCCUGAUGUUCUCGGAUGGAUUUGAGUAAGAGCAUACGGGGCCGGACCCGAAAGAAGGUGAACUAUGCCUGUAUAGGGUGAAGCCAGAGGAAACUCUGGUGGAGGCUCGCAGCGGUUCUGACGUGCAAAUCGAUCGUCAAAUAUGGGCAUGGGGGCGAAAGACUAAUCGAACCUUCUAGUAGCUGGUUCGC